ACUCUCAGUUCGGAUUGCAGGCUGAAACUCGCCUACAUGAAGCUGGAGUUACUAGUAAUCGCAGAUCAGAAUGCUGCGGUGAAUGCGUUCCCGGGUCUUGUACACACCGCCCGUCACACCACGGGAGUUGGAGACGCCCGAAGCCGAUUAUCUAACCUUUUGGAAGAAGUCGUCGAAGGUGGAAUCAAUAACUGGGGUGAAGUCGUAACAAGGUAGCCGUAUCGGAAGGUGCGGCUGGAUCACCUCCUUUCUAAGGAGA
rnacentral:rRNA from 1 species